GACCUGGUGGUGAAAUGAAUCACACUGAUUCCACUUCUGGUUCGAAAUUCCUGAGGUUUUAUGGGAGUCCCUGGUUCGAACCCGGGUCAGGUCA